rnacentral:lncRNA from 1 species
CUGAGCCUGGUCACAGCUCUCCAGGCACCCCAGCUGGCCAGGCAGUGGGGAAGUGAUUGUGAUUUCAUGUCCUCCAGCCCCAGCUGGUGAAAAGGAAUCUUGGUACCUUGAGAAAUAAAUCACUUGGAGGCUCAAAAAAAGGGACAAUAUAUUCACAAAUCUCUUAGGAGAAUGCAGGGAGCCAAGAGAAGGGACAGAACUGAAAAGACCCUGCCCCGCUCAAAGGAGGGAGCCCAGAAUUGGCUCUGAGUCAAAACCCGAAGAAGGAAUCCAUGCGGAGAGAGUGAGUUGGAAGAGUGAGAAAAUAGCCCCAGGAGAUUAAAAUGGGGUUAAUUGUAAGAAUACAAGCGGAACCUUAAGAGGAAGUUUAUGGAAACCCAAGAAGUAGAGCACUACUUCAGCAUGCCUCACAGGAACCGGAAUGGAGAACUAUAAAGGUACUCAGGAACUAAGCCUUCCACCUCCCCCUGUCCCUCCUCUUCCCUCCCUUCACCACUCUCC